rnacentral:lncRNA from 1 species
UUGAAGUGGAAGCACGUAAUUUUUCUUGUCGUCCCCACUCUUUUAUUUUUUUAUGUGGCUGUAAUGCCGAGUCCAGAGUUCUGUAAUCGAGUUAAAUCGAGUUUAGAAACUGCAAUGCAUUUACCGACAUACUCUUUUAGACCUCCAUGAUCGUGACUAUAUGGAUUUAUUGUUGCAAUAAUAAUUAUUAAUUAAUUAUAAAUUGUUUUUAAAUCAAUCAAUUAAAUUUUUCUGAACAAAAUGGGAUAUAAAUUAUUGUCAACUUUUGUGAAUUUUGACCAAAAUUAAUGGACAUAUCGGCGUCUUAGCUGACAAAGGCAAAUUUUAUAUUGUUAAAUAAUGGACAAAUGAUAGAUCAGGGUGGCUGAAGCGUCUAAUGUUUCAAUGUCAAAUGGUUCAAACACAAUUAUUAAAACUAGAAUAAAAAAAAAUCACAAGGUUGGUUUGUCAUAUAACAUGAAACAUGAAAUAAAUGAUCAUGUUAAAACUGUUUUUGUUAUCAAGUGGUUUAAAAAUUAAUUAACAAGAUUUUGAACCAUUUGUUAAUUUAACAAUUAUCUAAUACUGGUGCACAUGACCUAUCAACAAAAAAAAAACAUCAUCUUUUGCAUCAAUCUCUUUGAGAUACAUGUCACAGAUAAAAUGACCACCUACUAUGAAUUUACAAAAUAUGAAGUGUCAAUGAGUUCCAGCACCCCAUGAAUUAUUUAAUGUGAUUGUAGCAGCAUUCUUUGUCUAUCUAAAAUAGUCGAUAAUAUCACAUGAUGUUGGUGUUAUUAAUUAAUAAUUUCUAUUGAUAAACAGUUAUUUACUGUGAAUCUGUAUCUAUUUUUACAAAAAUUUUCUUGAUAAAAUGACCAUCGAGAUAAUAAUGAUUUCUGCUAAUGAAAAGUCAUCGCUCAAUUGAGUUUAUAAAAUAUAAAGUGCAAAUUCAUUCAAGCACUUUAUCGGUUAUAUGAGGUUAUAAAAGCAUGCUCUAUCUGUCUUGAACUAAAAUAGUCAAUAAUAUUACACGAUGCUGGUGUGAUUAAUUAAUAAUUGCUAAUUGUUGAUAGACAGUUAGACUUACUGUUGAACUGUAUCUAUUUUCAUUAAAAUAUAUUUGAACUUUGGUAAGCUUGUUAAACGUUGGUAAGCAUGUGUUGUAACUGCUUGCAUACGUGUGAUGUUUGGUGCGUCAGGAACAAACUGCCUCUGUUGAAAUGAAUGUUAAAAGUAUACUCUGAUCUGCUCUAAGCUCACAAUGAUCAUAUUAUGAUCGGUUAACUCGAUGUCUCCUUUUGAUAUUGAUUAGCUAUUAAAAAAUAUAAUGCUAAAUUCCAUGUAAAUUAGCAAAAUAUAAGGACAUACCAGUGGUGUUGAUGCAAAGUGUUUUUGGAAAAGUUGUGGUAAAAAAUAGUGAAAAUUCUGUGAUCAUUUUUAUGAUCAUUGCGAAAGUGUGUUGUGUUUGUGUUGUGUGUGAUCAUUGAACCUGUUGCUGAUCAUAGAGAAACAUCGUGAACCACUACAUGGCUUAGGAGUAUUUGAUGAUCAGCGUGGGAAGAUGAACAUCCGCGAAAAAGGUAGGAUUUUCUUAAUGCUAUUACAAUUAUGAUCUUGUUCGA